rnacentral:rRNA from 1 species
GACAGAGGGUGCAAACGUUGUUCGGAAUUACUGGGCGUAAAGCGAGUGUAGGCGGUCUGAAAAGUCGGAUGUGAAAGCCCCGGGCUCAACCCGGGAAGUGCAUUCGAAACUGCCAGGCUAGAGUGUCGGAGAGGUUGGUGGAAUUCUCGGUGUAGAGGUGAAAUUCGUAGAUAUCGAGAGGAACACCGGUGGCGAAGGCAAUCCCCCUGGACCUGUACUGACGCUCAUGCACGAAAAGCGUGGGGGAGCAAACAGG